AAGAACCACGCAACCGACCAAACUCCAUAUUUAGUUCUCUCUACCAAAAAGUUUAUAAAUCAGUGUGUUGCUGUUGCCAUCACACCACAGUACAUCCCUCCACUGUUCCAGCUCAACACUACCACCGAGAGACUCAAGGCCGGUCUCUGUGUUGUUGUCCAACCAUCAACAAGAGCCGCCGUUAGUUGUAAAUAGGUUAUAUGCAUUCAUGACAUGAGAUUCCUUCACGAGCCUUUGGAGCCGGACGAUGCUCCUUCGGGAAUGCCCCAAGUCAACGAAUGCCGAUCGCAGUGGAUGCUGGACCGAUGCUCCUAAUCGGAAUGUUGUCUAAGUAUAGACGUUGCCGCGCUCGACGGUGCGAGGCGAUGCCCAGUUUUGCUAGAAGACUGUUAUCUGUUGCAUUGACUAUGGCAUGUAUGCUUAUAUGGAUAUUCACGCCCUUGCAUAUGCUCAUGUUAAAGUAUUCAAGUGAUGUAUGAACUUGAUACCGUUAGGAAUGUUUUAAUGGAUACUAAUAUGCAGGAACUUGCUGGCAUUAAAAGAAUGAUAAGAAAUGUGACUAGAUUGCAUGCAGGGUGUAUCAUUCUCCUACUCUAAAUUUAUGGGAUUUACUCGCU